UAUCCGUAGGUGAACCUGCGGAGGGAUCAUUACUGAGUGAGGGCUCACGCCCGACCUCCAACCCCAUGUGAACCGAAACCUGUUGCUUCGGGGGCGACCCUGCCUUUCGGCGCGGCGCCCCCGGAGGCUCAUCAAACACUGCAUCUCUGCGUCGGAGUCUUGAUGAAUUUAAACAAAACUUUUAACAACGUAUCUCUUGGUUCUGGCAUCGAUGAAGAACGCAGC
rnacentral:misc_RNA from 1 species